rnacentral:tRNA from 1 species
GGGCCUGUAGCUCAGCCCGGAAGAGCCGACCGCUCAUAACGGUCUGGUCGCAGGUUCAAAUCCUGCCGGGCCCACCA